rnacentral:lncRNA from 10 species
GGGUGAUUACACAGUGGUUCUCAAAGUAUGGACCUCCAACCAGCAGCAUCAGCAGCAUCUGGAUACUUGCUAGAAAUGGAAAUUCUCUGGCCCUAUUCCAGGCCUUCCAAGUUGGAAACUUUGUGAUGGGGCCCAGCACUCUGUGUUUUAACAAGCCCUCUAGCCUUAAGGAAAACAACUCUGAGGACUUUUGUCACGGACUUGAAAUUCUCAUCUGUGCUUGGACAAGACUCUGAAACAUACCAACUGUGUAUUUUCCUGCCUUUGGUAAAUCUGGAGCUAUUAACUGAUUCUAAAGAACAUUUGACUUAAAAAGACUAUGGAAAGCCCAAAGAAUAAAGGGACACUUGUCACUGGAUUGAAGGCAUAUUCUAAUUUAGGACAAUGUCUUGAGAUCUUUAACUUAACUACAUUUGCAAAGACCCAAUUUCCAAGUAACUGGAACAUUCUAGAUAAUGAAGACCCCAGUGGAUUAUUAUUAGCAAAUGAAAACUGGAUAUCAAGAAGGGCAAAAUCUUCAACCUUAUCAGCAGAAAGAGUUUAUGUAAAAAUAUACCACAUAGAAUAACUAAAAAAAUAAGCAAGUGAUACCUUAUCUGAGCUCAAAAUAUCUGUUUCUUUGCAAAUGGAUAAAGGAUUUAUUAUAUUAUAGCACCUUGAGGACAGAGACUUUAUGUUUCUAACUACCCAUCCCAGCAUCAUCUAGUUCAUUCCUAUGCUGAACAGCCCCUAACACAUUGCCUAAAUAAAUACUAACAUUA